rnacentral:rRNA from 1 species
ACGUAGCAAUACGUUUGUAAAGCGGCGAACGGGUGAGGAAUACAUGGGUAACCUACCCUCGAGUGGGGAAUAACUAGCCGAAAGGUUAGCUAAUACCGCGUACGCUCCUUGGACUUCGGUUCAGGGAGGAAAGCGAUACCGUGGGUAUCGCGCUCUUGGAUGGGCUCAUGUCCUAUCAGCUUGUUGGUGAGGUAACGGCUCACCAAGGCUUCGACGGGUAGCUGGUCUGAGAGGACGAUCAGCCACACUGGCACUGCGACACGGGCCAGACUCCUACGGGAGGCAGCAGUAAGGAAUAUUGCGCAAUGGGCGAAAGCCUGACGCAGCGACGCCGCGUGGGGGAUGAAGGUCUUCGGAUUGUAAACCCCUUUCGGGAGGGAAGAUGGAAUGGGGUAACCCAUUCGGACGGUACCUCCAGAAGCAGCCACGGCUAACUUCGUGCCAGCAGCCGCGGUAAUACGAAGGUGGCAAGCGUUAUUCGGAUUUACUGGGCGUACAGGGAGCGUAGGCGGUUCGGUAAGCCCUUUGUGAAAUCUUCAGGCUUAACCUGGAAAAGUCGGAGGGGACUGCCGGGCUAGAGGACGGGAGAGGAGCGCGGAAUUCCCGGUGUAGCGGUGAAAUGCGUAGAGAUCGGGAGGAAGGCCGGUGGCGAAGGCGGCGCUCUGGAACGUUUCUGACGCUGAGGCUCGAAAGCGUGGGGAGCAAACAGGAUUAGAUACCCUGGUAGUCCACGCCUUAAACUAUGAAUACUAAGUGUCGGCGGGUUACCGCCGGUGCCGCAGCUAACGCA